CUACGGGACGCUCCAGUGGGGAAUAUUGCACAAUGGGGGAAACCCUGAUGCAGCAACGCCGCGUGGAGGAUGACACAUUUCGGUGCGUAAACUCCUUUUAUAGGUCAAGAUAAUGACGGUAGCCUAUGAAUAAGCGCCGGCUAACUCCGUGCCAGCAGCCGCGGUAAUACGGAGGGCGCAAGCGUUACUCGGAAUCACUGGGCGUAAAGAGCAUGUAGGCGGAUUGUUAAGUUGGAAGUGAAAUCCUAUGGCUUAACCAUAGAACUGCUUCCAAAACUGAUAAUCUAGAGUAUGGGAGAGGUAGAUGGAAUUUCUGGUGCAGGGGUAAAAUCCGUAGAGAUCAGAAGGAAUACCGAUUGCGAAGGCGAUCUACUGGAACAUUACUGACGCUCAGAUGCGAAAGCGUGGGGAGCAAACAGGAUUAGAUACCCCCGUAGUC
rnacentral:rRNA from 1 species